GUGGGGAUAGCUCAGUGGUAGAGCGCGUGCUUAGCAUGCACAAGACCCUGGAUUCCAUCCUCAGUACCUCUG
rnacentral:tRNA from 1 species